GCCCCUGUGGCCCAGUGGUAACUCUCCUGCCUGCAGCGUGGCUGACCCGGGUUCGAAUCCUGCCAUUGGCG